rnacentral:rRNA from 1 species
ACAAUGGGCGCGAAGCCUGAUGCAGCCAUGCCGCGUGUAUGAAGAAGGACCUUACGGGUUGUAAAGGUACUUUACAGCAGUGAGGAAGGUGGAUAUGUUAAUAGCAUACUCAUUUGACGUUAGCUGCAGAAGAAGCACCGGCUAACUCCGUGCCAGCAGCCGCGGUAAUACGGAGGGUGCGAGCGUUAAUCGGAAUUACUGGGCGUAAAAGCGCAUGCAGGUGGUUUGUUAAGUCAGAUGUGAAAGCCCCGGGGCUCAACCUCGGAAUUGCAUUUGAAAACUGGCAAACUAGAGUACUGUAGAGGGGGUAGGAAUUUCAGGUGUAGCGGUGAAAUGCGUAGAGAUCUGAAGGAAUACCGGUGGCGAAGGCGGCCCCCUGGACAGAUACUGACACUCAGAUGCGAAAGCGUGGGGAGCAAACAGGAUUAGAUACCCUGGUAG